rnacentral:rRNA from 1 species
GAGUCAACGUAGCAAUACGUGGCAUACGGCUCAGUAACACGUAGUCAACAUAACCAAAGGACGUGGAUAAACUCGGGAAACUGAGGCUAAACCGCGAUAGAUCAAGAUACCUGGAAUGGUUUUUGAUCAAAAUCUAUAUGGCCUUUGGAUUGGACUGCGUCCGAUCAGGCUGUUGGUGAGGUAAUGGCCCACCAAACCUAUAACCGGUACGGGCUCUGAGAGGAGGAGCCCGGAGAUGGGUACUGAGAUAAGGACCCAGGCCCUAUGGGGCGCAGCAGGCGCGAAACCUCUGCAAUAGGCGAAAGCUUGACAGGGUUACUCUGAGUGACUUUCGUUAAGAGAGUCUUUUGACACCUCUAAAAAUGGUGUAGAAUAAGGGGUGGGCAAGUCUGGUGUCAGCCGCCGCGGUAAUACCAGCACCCCGAGUGGUCGGGACGAUUAUUGGGCCUAAAGCAUCCGUAGCCGGCCUUACAAGUCCUCCGUUAAAUCCAGCUGCUUAACAGAUGGGCUGCGGAGGAUACUAUAAGACUAGGAGGCAGGAGAGGCAAGCGGUACUCAGUGGGUAGGGGUAAAAUCCGUUGAUCCAUUGAAGACCACCAGUGGCGAAGGCGGCUUGCCAGAAUGCGCUCGACGGUGAGGGAUGAAAGCUGGGGGAGCAAACCGGAUUAGAUACCCGGGUAGUCCCAGCCGUAAACGAUGCAGACUCGGUGAUGGACUAGCUUUAUGCUGGUCCAGUGCCGCAGGGAAGCCGUUAAGUCUGCCGCCUGGGUAGUACGGUCGCAAGACUGAA